rnacentral:rRNA from 1 species
CGUGUAGGCGGUCUGAUAAGUCAGUGGUGAAAGUUUUCAGCUUAACUGGAAAAAUGCCGUUGAUACUGUCAGGCUAGAAUAUGGUUGCUGUGAGUGGAAUGUGUGGUGUAGCGGUGAAAUGCUUAGAUAUCACACAGAAUAUCGAUUGCGAAGGCAGCUCACAAAGCCAUUAUUGACGCUGAGGCACGAAAGUGUGGGGAUCAAACA